rnacentral:lncRNA from 1 species
UCAUGGCAAGCGCCAUGAUAAACGCUAUGGUGAACGUCAUGAGUGCAAAAUUAGCCAUUUUCUCUGUUCUUUGCCAUUUUUGUCCCGAUUUCUCGCACGGAUACUCCUACUUGGUAAAUACCCGAAAUAGACACAAUAUACUAGCAUAAAAUCAUAAAAUGAAAAUAAAACGGACUAAAAUGACAUGUGUAAUGAGUUAGAAAUGUGAUACAUUUCAUGGUUAUCAACUACCACACCUUACGCUACCACAAUU